rnacentral:rRNA from 1 species
GGUUGAUCCUGCCAGUAGUCAUAUGCUUGUCUUAAAGAUUAAGCCAUGCAUGUCUAAGUAUAAGUAAUUAUACAGCGAAACUGCGGAUGGCUCAUUAAAUCAGUUAUAGUUUACUUGGUGGUUAAACAAUACUUGGAUAACUGUAGUAAUUCUAGAGCUAAUACGUGCACAAAGUCCCGACUCUUGCGGAAGGGGUGUAAUUAUUAGUUAACAAACCAGUGCGGGUCAAACCGCUACUUGGUGAAUCUAGGUAAUCCAAUGUUUAUUUUCUGAUCGUAUGGUCUAGCACCGA